UGGGGAAUAUUGCACAAUGGGCGCAAGCCUGAUGCAGCCAUGCCGCGUGUGUGAAGAAGGCCUUCGGGUUGUAAAGCACUUUCAGCGGGGAGGAAGGCGUUAAGGUUAAUAACCUUGGCGAUUGACGUUACCCGCAGAAGAAGCACCGGCUAACUCCGUGCCAGCAGCCGCGGUAAUACGGAGGGUGCAAGCGUUAAUCGGAAUUACUGGGCGUAAAGCGCACGCAGGCGGUCUGUCAAGUCGGAUGUGAAAUCCCCGGGCUCAACCUGGGAACUGCAUUCGAAACUGGCAGGCUAGAGUAUCGUAGAGGGGGGUAGAAUUCCAGGUGUAGCGGUGAAAUGCGUAGAGAUCUGGAGGAAUACCGGUGGCGAAGGCGGCCCCCUGGACGAAGACUGACGCUCAGGUGCGAAAGCGUGGGGAGCAAACAGG
rnacentral:rRNA from 1 species